UACGGAGGGGGCUAGCGUUGUUCGGAAUUACUGGGCGUAAAGCGCACGUAGGCGGCUUUGUAAGUUAGAGGUGAAAGCCCGGGGCUCAACUCCGGAAUUGCCUUUAAGACUGCAUCGCUAGAAUUGUGGAGAGGUAAGUGGAAUUCCGAGUGUAGAGGUGAAAUUCGUAGAUAUUCGGAAGAACACCAGUGGCGAAGGCGGCUGCCUGGGCCUGGCCUGACGCUGAGGCGCGAAAGCGUGGGGAGCGAUCCGG
rnacentral:rRNA from 1 species